rnacentral:tRNA from 2 species
ACUUAAAUAGCUUAAUGUUUAGAGCGCGACACUGAAGAUGUUGAUGAGGCAUAUGUUGUCUUUAAGUG